rnacentral:rRNA from 1 species
UACAGAGGGUGCAAGCGUUAAUCGGAUUUACUGGGCGUAAAGCGUGCGUAGGCGGUUCAUUAAGUCGGUUGUGAAAUCCCUGGGCUUAACCUGGGAACUGCAGUCGAUACUGAUGGACUAGAGUACGGUAGAGGGUGGCGGAACUCCGGGUGUAGCGGUGAAAUGCGUAGAUAUCCGGAAGAACACCGAUGGCGAAGGCAACCACCUGGGCCUGUACUGACGCUGAGGUACGAAAGCGUGGGGAGCAAACAGG